UUACAGGCUUAACACAUGCAAGUCGAGGGGCAGCAUGGUCUUAGCUUGCUAAGGCCGAUGGCGACCGGCGCACGGGUGAGUAACACGUAUCCAACCUGCCGUCUACUCUUGGACAGCCUUCUGAAAGGAAGAUUAAUACAAGAUGGCAUCAUGAGUCCGCAUGUUCACAUGAUUAAAGGUAUUCCGGUAGACGAUGGGGAUGCGUUCCAUUAGAUAGUAGGCGGGGUAACGGCCCACCUAGUCUUCGAUGGAUAGGGGUUCUGAGAGGAAGGUCCCCCACAUUGGAACUGAGACACGGUCCAAACUCCUACGGGAGGCAGCAGUGAGGAAUAUUGGUCAAUGGGCGAGAGCCUGAACCAGCCAAGUAGCGUGAAGGAUGACUGCCCUAUGGGUUGUAAACUUCUUUUAUAAAGGAAUAAAGUCGGGUAUGGAUACCCGUUUGCAUGUACUUUAUGAAUAAGGAUCGGCUAACUCCGUGCCAGCAGCCGCGGUAAUACGGAGGAUCCGAGCGUUAUCCGGAUUUAUUGGGUUUAAAGGGAGCGUAGAUGGAUGUUUAAGUCAGUUGUGAAAGUUUGCGGCUCAACCGUAAAAUUGCAGUUGAUACUGGAUAUCUUGAGUGCAGUUGAGGCAGGCGGAAUUCGUGGUGUAGCGGUGAAAUGCUUAGAUAUCACGAAGAACUCCGAUUGCGAAGGCAGCCUGCUAAGCUGCAACUGACAUUGAGGCUCGAAAGUGUGGGUAUCAAACAGGAUUAGAUACCCUGGUAGUCCACACGGUAAACGAUGAAUACUCGCUGUUUGCGAUAUACUGCAAGCGGCCAAGCGAAAGCGUUAAGUAUUCCCACCUGGGGAGUACGCCGGCAACGGUGAAACUCAAAGGAAUUGACGGGGGCCCGCACAAGCGGAGGAACAUGUGGUUUAAUUCGAUGAUACGCGAGGAACCUUACCCGGGCUUAAAUUGCAGAUGAAUUACGGUGAAAGCCGUAAGCCGCAAGGCAUCUGUGAAGGUGCUGCAUGGUUGUCGUCAGCUCGUGCCGUGAGGUGUCGGCUUAAGUGCCAUAACGAGCGCAACCCUUGUUGUCAGUUACUAACAGGUUCCGCUGAGGACUCUGACAAGACUGCCAUCGUAAGAUGUGAGGAAGGUGGGGAUGACGUCAAAUCAGCACGGCCCUUACGUCCGGGGCUACACACGUGUUACAAUGGGGGGUACAGAGGGCCGCUACCACGCGAGUGGAUGCCAAUCCCCAAAACCUCUCUCAGUUCGGACUGGAGUCUGCAACCCGACUCCACGAAGCUGGAUUCGCUAGUAAUCGCGCAUCAGCCACGGCGCGGUGAAUACGUUCCCGGGCCUUGUACACACCGCCCGUCAAGCCAUGGGAGCCGGGGGUACCUGAAGUGCGUAACCGAGAGGAGCGCCCUAGGGUAAAACUGGUGAC
rnacentral:rRNA from 1 species